AGUUCCCUCUGUCAUAAUCUGGAAUGAUGAUAUCAAUCAAGUGAAGCAGCUAUCACAGGGUCUGGAACAUAGUACAUCCCAGCCUUCUUGCACAUAGAAACACUACACAGCACUUCAGCUGUAUGUUUGGGGGCCAUUUUAAACAGCAAAAUCAUCAACAGGAAGCAGAAAAUUGUAAAAAUUGUGGCACUAAAUAGACCAUGUAAAGGACACAUGUUUGCAAUAAGAAAGCUGAAACAAGAAGGGGGAGUGUCACCUUAUUUGAUCCAGCUAGAAACUCAGGUGCUGGUAUUCCAGCAACACUCAGGCGGCUGCUCCAGGAGGCUGCAGAGGGGUCCUUUUUAGCCGUCAACAAAACUGGCUAUGGUCACGCCCAUUGGGAAACUCAUUGCUGCCUUCAAGGACUCAGAAGCUGUAGGAAUAUUCAGGCACAGACACCAGACCCAGCUUCAUCUCUAACUUGUGGCAAAGGACAGUACAUCCUGGGAUGGGACCCUAUGCUCCCCUAUGCCAUUUAGACAGAGCCUGGGGAGAGUGACUUCCCAGGGUAUCCAUGUUGGAAUCUCUCAUUUGAUUCUUAUUCAAAUGUAAGUCAUUCUCCGAGGCCCAUAUAAAGUCAACCUCAUCCUUGAA
rnacentral:lncRNA from 1 species